UUUCGUCACUCGAAUCUUUAAAAAUUUUGCAUCUGAACCACAGAGAUUUUCGUCCGAGGCAAAAGAAGCUUUUUGUCCAUAUAAAAAUGGUAUGAAUAUCGUGUAUUCUUGUGCCAGUAUUUCUAUAUAUCUGGCACAAGUUCAUCCAGCCGCUGGUCGACAGAUGGUAUGGAAAACCGAAACUCGAAAGUGGUAAAACUGAUGAGAAACUGACUUUAGACCAAAAGGGCUUGCUUCCCAAUGGUGAUCUAAAAGUUGAUGAUUUACCUGCUAAGGAAGUGACUGCUGAUGGCCAUGUAAAGUCUGACUAGAGUCUUACACUAUCCAGUUGCACCUAAAUUGUACACAAACUUGUUGCCUGACCACAUGGGACAACUAUGUGAAGCAAGGAUCAUGAAGACUUUUGAUAAAACCCUAUGUUGUGGGACAGUCAUUUGUUGGAGUAAAAAAACCUUGUUUUACAAAGAAAAAAAUUUACAUGAAAAUUUUUUCCUUACACACCAAUGCAGUGUACACCAUCCUCUUUAUUUGGUUAAAAUCUUUUAUUUUUCAAAGUAUGACAAUUGUAAACUGUAAAUCAAGAGAAAAUAUGACCUGCACACAACUAGUCAUCAUUUAUGUGUAGCUUCAAUUUAAUAAAAAUUUUUGCGUCAUACAUUAGUUUGCUUUGUACUCUUUUUAUGUACUCUGCACCACUUAAAUAGCCUGAGCACAAAGUGAGUUGUUAUUAAGAAAAGUAUUUACUAGGUAUGAUAAGCAAUGUUAUAGUGGAAAUCCAGUCUGCAAAAUGAAAAUAAAAAAAAAAACUUUUUGUCUCAUUGGCA